AUUUAAAUAGUUUAAUAAAAAUAUUAAUUUGUGGAAUUAAAGAUAUAAAUUUAAGAUAUUUUAAAUA
rnacentral:tRNA from 1 species